UGCGUAGGCGGUUCUUUGUGUCCGCUGUGAAAUCCCCGGGCUUAACCUGGGAAUUGCAGUGGAAACUAGAGGACUCAGAAUCCGGCAGAGGGGGGUGGAAUGCCACGUGUAGCAGUGAAAUGCGUAGAGAUGUGGCGGAACACCGAUGGCGAAGGCAGCCCCCUGGGCUGAGAUUGACGCUCAGGCACGAAAGCGUGGGGAGCAAACAGGAUUAGAUACCCUGGUAGUCCACGCCCUAAACGAUGAUCACUAGGUGUUGGGGAAGCGAUUUCCUAGUACCGCAGCUAACGCGUGAAGUGAUCCGCCUGGGGAGUACGGUCGCAAGAUUAAA
rnacentral:rRNA from 1 species